ensembl:piRNA 21ur-6566 ncRNA
UCGUAGUUUGAUAAAAUUCAA